rnacentral:rRNA from 1 species
UACAGAGGGUGCAAGCGUUGUUCGGAAUUAUUGGGCGUAAAGCGCACGUAGGCGGCUUUCUAAGUCGGGGGUGAAAUCCUGGAGCUCAACUCCAGAACUGCCUUCGAUACUGGAAGCUCGAGUCCGGGAGAGGUGAGUGGAACUGGCGAGUGUAGAGGUGAAAUUCGUAGAUAUUCGCAAGAACACCAGUCGGCGAAGGCGGCUCACUGGCCCGGUACGUGACGCUG